AGUCCUGGAGGAACACAAGAAGACCCUUUUGAGGAUAACAGAAUUCAUAAAGUACAUGCCAUGGAAGAGCACAUGGGGCCAAUGACAAGGAAGAUGGAGGUUAUGGAGAGGAAGUCCAUGACUUUGAAGGCUGCCAUGGCUUUGAACAUGCCACGACCUGCUGUUGGUCCAGUGCAGCAGAGAGCAUAAGCUGGUGGAGCUAGCCAGAAGCCUGGCUCAACCAGAAAUGAGAAACCAAAUGACCUUGGGAAAGCCUGGGAUGGGCGAAUACGGCAGCUGCUGUCCGCCGUGGGUGGCUACCCACACACCAUGUCCUGGGACAUUACAGCCUGAGGAGGAAUAGAACGUGCAUGCAUUCCAGAACCUGACCCUUUGCAAAGUUAUAACAGGUAAGAUUAGCAGGUAUAUUCUCCGUAAAAAAUAUCUGUGUAAAUCUGUGUUAUGCCAAGUUUGAUUCAGAUUUAAAUGUCCCACCUUUCUUUACAUCCAUUUGCAGAGACCUACACGCAGAACUUCUCUGUCCUGCAGGAAGCGAAUAUUGAGA